CUUCUCUACCAACAUAAGUUUUAAGUUUGAAAGAUGCAAUUGCAUCACUCAAAGAUGAUCCCGCGUUGUAUUAGCUAGUUGGUGAGGUAAAGGCUCACCAAGGCGAUGAUACAUAGCCGACCUGAGAGGGUGAUCGGCCACAUUGGGACUGAGACACGGCCCAAACUCCUACGGGAGGCAGCAGUAGGGAAUCUUCGGCAAUGGACGAAAGUCUGACCGAGCAACGCCGCGUGAGUGAAGAAGGUUUUCGGAUCGUAAAACUCUGUUGGUAGAGAAG
rnacentral:rRNA from 1 species